CUCGCAUCUAUUCACCACCUAUCAUCUUUAGUAAAUUAGCUAAAAAAUGAGUUUUUUUUGACACAUCUAAAGAGCCAACAGACAAAUAAUUAUAUAAAAAAAUUUAUCUCAUUUUUAUUUAUAGUAAAAAUAUUAUUUUACUAUGUGGAAGGAAAAAAACUAUUAGGGUAUAUUUUUGUUUAUAAAAAAAAAAAAAAAAACAUGCCUUGAUAGUUACAUC
rnacentral:lncRNA from 1 species